AUGCUCUGUGCUCGACGCUGGGGUAGGGGCGUUAGCACAUUAUUAGAGCCUUUAGGCGCCAUCAAUUAUCUCGUCUGUCUUCCGCGUCGAGAUAUUGGCGAUGUUGCUAAUUCUCACGCACAUGCCUUGCACGUGUAGUCUUCAACCGCGAGUUCAAGUUAUGGAAAACACCUACUCUGACUCUCUCUCUCAGUUCUCAACCCUAACUCCCCACACUUCUCAUCUCCUUUCUCCAAAUCUUUUCAAUUCUCAUGAAGGUAUAAAAAUGAUCCAAUCGAUCUCCAUCAAAAGUAUCAAUUUCCUCUUUUCCAAAUCGUCUUAUGGUUUCAGAUUUCUUCUUUCGGAGCAGAUCUCGCUGAAAGUUUCGGACAAAUGACCAACGGGGAAGUUAAGACAGUGCCCAGAUCGGCGUCGUUCAUUAUGGGAAAAGAGUUGCAGAUCUAGGAGAUGGUGAUAACUCGCUAAUUUUGUAUGUCUUCCCGUUUGGAGACGCACAAACCCUCUAUCACUCACCAAAUUCUCAACCUCUUUGAUAUAUUCCAACCUUCAAGAUCGACGAGUUAAUUUUUGCUCGAAUAAUGAGUUUCAGGGAGAAAUAGCAGCAGCAUUCGUGACUCUUUUUCAACGGUGUCAGGACUAGCAACUGCAGACGUGGUAGAAAUCCCAAUACCAUAUGUUGUUGCAGAAGUUUCUAUUAAGCGUCUAGCCUCUCUCAACAAGCCUGAAAUCCCAAUACUUGUUGUGGGAUGUCUGUUUGCAAUUGCCAUUGGUGCAAUAUUUCCAGUAUUUAGUAUAAUAUUUGCUAGUGCGGAUUGAAAUGUUUUACAAGCCACCAGAUAUCUUGAGAAGGGAUUCGAGGCUUUAGUUGGAGACGCAUUGGGUUUUCUUAUCAAAAUAUUUCCUCUGCUAUAACUGGUUUGGUCAUUGCUUUCCUUGCAAACUGGAUUCUGGCAUUGAUAGUCCUCGUCUUAAUCCCUCUCAUAGGAAUCAGUGGUUAUCUCCAAGUAACGUUUAUGCAGGGAUUUAGUGCUGAUGCGAAGAAGAAGUACGAGGAGGCUAGCCAAGUUACCAACGAUGCAGUUGGGAGUUUCGUGUUUUCUGAGUUAUUCGAAGGUCAGGCUUCCUCAAUUGAAUCUUUGUUUGAAACUGGAUGCUCAAUUUUGUGCAGGUUUCUUUUCCUCCAAAACUGAGUGAUCAACCGAUUUGUCAAAGGAGUUUUAAAAGUUCUAAACUUUUCUAACAAACAUUUAUUAAGUACUUAGGUUUUUUCCCCUAUGUAUUUGUUAUGUAUAAUGAUUAAUUGAAAUGAGUUGGUUGAAUUAGUAAGUUAAUUGAAUUAAUUAGUAUGUUAAUCACUGAAUUUAUAUUAGUUCUUCAAUUUUUGGAGUUGUAAAGGUUCAGUUUAGUGAAAAAUGUAUGUGUUUUUCUUAUUAGAGAAGUUUUAUUGUAUCCCCGAUCCGCAAUGUUAUGUUAUUAUAUGAAGACCCUAAGUUUGUACAAUUUCUGAAAAUGCAACGAUCUCGUUCAUCCUAGAUAGU